AGCGAACGCUAGCGGCAGGCUUAACACAUGCAAGUCGAGCGCCAGGUUUCGGCCUGGAGCGGCGAACGGGUGAGUAACACGUAGGUCACGUACCCUAUGGUGGGGAAUACCCCGGGGAAACUCGGAUCAAUGCCCCAUAUGUCCGAAAGGAUGAAAGCGCUUCGGCGCGCCAGAGGAUCGGCCUGCGGCCCAUUAUUUAAUCCUAGUUGGUGAGGUAACGGCUCACCAAGGGUACGAUGGGUAGCUGGUCUGAGAGGACGAUCAGCCACACUGGAACUGAGACACGGUCCAGACUCCUACGGGAGGCAGCAGUGGGGAAUAUUGGACAAUGGGCGAAAGCCUGAUCCAGCCAUGCCGCGUGAGUGAUGAAGGCCUUCGGGUUGUAAAGCUCUGUCGUGGGGGAAGAAGUUCUGACGGUACCCCACAAGAAAGCACCGGCUAACUCCGUGCCAGCAGCCGCCGUAAUAC
rnacentral:rRNA from 1 species